rnacentral:rRNA from 1 species
UAUUGGACAAUGGGCGAAAGCCUGAUCCAGCAAUGCCGCGUGUGUGAAGAAGGCCUGCGGGUUGUAAAGCACUUUUAUCGGGAAAGAAACAGCCUGGGGCGAAUACCCCCAGGCCUUGACGGUACCCGAUGAAUAAGCACCGGCUAACUCCGUGCCAGCAGCCGCGGUAAUACGGAGGGUGCGAGCGUUAAUCGGAAUUACUGGGCGUAAAGCGAGUGUAGGCGGUUGCAUAAGUCGGAUGUGAAAGCCCCGGGCUUAACCUGGGAAUGGCAUUCGAUACUGUGCGGCUAGAGUCUGAUAGAGGGAAGUGGAAUUCCAGGUGUAGCGGUGAAAUGCGUAGAUAUCUGGAAGAACACCAGUGGCGAAGGCGGCUUCCUGGAUCAAGACUGACGCUGAGGCUCGAAAGCGUGGGGAGCAAACAGG